rnacentral:rRNA from 1 species
GACGAACGCUGGCGGCGUGCUUAACACAUGCAAGUCGAACGGAAAGGCCCCUUUGGGGGUACUCGAGUGGCGAACGGGUGAGUAACACGUGAGUAACCUGCCCUUGACUUCGGGAUAACUUCAGGAAACUGGGGCUAAUACCGGAUAGGAAUCCUUGCUGCAUGGUGGGGGUUGGAAAGCUUCGGCGGUUUUGGAUGGACUCGCGGCUUAUCAGCUUGUUGGUGGGGUAGUGGCUUACCAAGGCUUUGACGGGUAGCCGGCCUGAGAGGGCGACCGGCCACAUUGGGACUGAGAUACGGCCCAGACUCCUACGGGAGGCAGCAGUGGGGAAUCUUGCACAAUGGGCGGAAGCCUGAUGCAGCAACGCCGCGUGCGGGAGGACGGCCUUCGGGUUGUAAACCGCUUUCAGCAGGGGCGAAGCUUGUGGUGACGGUACCUGCAGAAGAAGCACCGGCUAACUACGUG